rnacentral:rRNA from 1 species
UACGUAGGGGGCAAGCGUUGUCCGGAAUCAUUGGGCGUAAAGAGCGUGUAGGCGGUCCGGUCAGUCGGUUGUGAAAGUCAAGGGCUCAACCCUUGAAUGCCGGCCGAUACUGCCGGGCUAGAGUCCGGAAGAGGUGAGUGGAAUUCCUGGUGUAGCGGUGAAAUGCGCAGAUAUCAGGAGGAACACCGAUGGCGAAGGCAGGUCUCUGGGCAGUAACUGACGCUGAGGAGCGAAAGCAUGGGUAGCGAACAGG